rnacentral:lncRNA from 1 species
GUUGGUAAGUAGGGAGGUUGGCUGCAGCUCCAGCAUGAAAAAGCUUCCAUGUGUUCCUCUGUUACAGGGACACCACAGAGGAGGUCAGGAUUAAGAAAACAGUGGAUGCAUGGAUCAACGCCCUGAGUAAGGAUAUCCAGGCCGAUAUUUCAAAAUUAGACUUUGUUGCUCAGACGAGAGCUAAAGACUUGGUGAAAGAGUCUGCUGCUGCUGCCGUGUUACCCCAGAAAAACAAACUAAUAACACCACCACCUCCA